GGGCGCGGAAACGCUAGUCUGCAGGGCGUUGUGGUGGACGCUCGCCAAUUCCCCGUUCUUUCAUCACCUACGUUUUACUGUUCCCUCUCUCCAUUAAGACUUGCACUGAGUCAUCUAGCGGCGGGCUCUCCUACUUCACCCAGCGGUAUCAGUUUCCGGCAAGCCAUUCUCAGCCACCCACUUGCUCGGCGCUCCAACCAACCUUCAGCCGUUCUUCUCUGCCUGUGGUUCCUCGGCGCAUUGAGGGGCGUAUUGGAUCUUGUGCUGCAUCGCAUUUGCAACAUUUCAAGGACUUGGCAAACUGCUCUUACGCCCUGAGUACUAGAGAGGUUCAGCGUGGGGGAGGAGGAAUGGGUGCCUGGAGCCAUAUGAGGGUAGAGGGGUAGGGUUGCUCCACCACUACCACCACCACCUGCCAAAUGUCAUCAGCGUUGGCCAAUAUUCCGCACCGUCAAUUCUAGAGCGGCGCUUGGGAUACCCUGUCACUUCCCACUUCUGUCCCGUCCUUUGUAAAAUCUAAAAUACGGUCUGUUUACACGUCCGUGAGGCCAGCCAAGGAAGGACAUCGUUGAAGAAAUCCUGCAGGAAGCCCGUCUAAUUGCAGGUUUUAAAAAGUGAAACGAAGAUUUCUCAAACGGAGGUUUCCGGGACGUGGCGCUGUCUACGAAGGAGACAGAUGCGGCUGUGGCUGUGUAGGGACGGAAGGCACCGAUCAUAGGAAUCUGGUGUAGCCAGAACGGUCACCCACCUCACUGAUGAUGCAUCACGUCGUUAGGAUUGCCGCUCACAGUUUUCCGUGCCUUCAGGUACAAGUGUGAUCAUAAAAUCUUGACAGUUGGGUUGCUGCUUACUCACACAACCACCAAUCAUCGGAAGACACUGCAUUAAUCACCGACAUCAUUCCUCUCCUCUGACUUGUGUUGUUGGACUAGUUAGCAGGCUGUGAUGCUGGUGUGGAGCUGGCUUGUGUGUGGAGAGUUCUCAGGACUUUCCAGCUUCGCUAAACAAAAAAAAAAAGUCAGUUAGGGAGUCCUCAGAACUCUUAGCAUACAUGCAAGGCAACUGAUUCAUUAAUAGCAUCACAGCCAGCCCACGAGUCUAAAAAACACACUAGUGGGGGGUGGGUGAUGCGUGAAGCCAGCGCCUACUACAGCGUCUUCUUGACUCUGAAUUGCAGCAGGAUCACAAAUUUGCAGCAGGAUCACAAAUUAAGUUGGAUUUCCGUUAAAAAAACCUGCAGUGUGAUGUGUGUAUUGCCCUGUGGAGUUCAGCUCUCAUCUACAUCGACCAGACGCGGCUGGAGCCUUGCAAGGUCUGAGAAAGGUUAGGUUAGCUGGUCACUAAGUGAAAUUUAAAGUUGGAGUGAUGAAAUUAGCGUUAGGUGGAUGAUGCACAUGCCACCUUACGGAUCUGCCUACUAAAGAACUGAUACGACAGUUUUCCCGUUUUCUCAGGCAUUUUCAUGUCAGGCAACUCUUACAUGCGUGCAGCGACACUACCGUCAGCUCUCUAUUUUUGUUAAUUAAAAUCGAAGCAUGAAUUGAUUAGUUUUACUAAUGCAGUAUGAAAAAAAACAAAGGAUGUGAAGAGCGAGUGCAGCGUCUUCUUGAUUUAGUCAAUAUAUUGACUAAAAAAAGACGUACUAAACUGGUAUGAAUCACGGUCGAGCGGUUAGCAUGUCCAUUUCAACUAAAUACACUUACUUGCAUCCUUAAAACUAACGUCUUAUUGGAUGAUCUUUUAACUAUGGGUUGUGACUUGCAUGCACUACCUAACAAUUUCACUCCAACGCUUUCCUCAUGAACAGCUAACUUGUCACAAACCAGAUGCAAGCGUCCACUGUAUUCAAGUAGCCUGGAGGUGGCCCAUCGCAGGACGUCACGGUGAAAGGCUUAUACACGAGAUCUUCGGCCUGCAGGUUCUUUUAGUUUGUUCCAAGGCGAAACCUGAAAUAAUGUGUAGGAUAAGAUUAUAGUGGUCGGGGAAUUAUAUACUGAUUUGUAAAAUUAACAAAUUAUACACUAAAUUUCCAAAAUACUAUACAAGGGAAUUAUAUCAGGAAUUAAUGCUACCAGUAAAUCAAACAAAUA